GCAGAUGUAGUUCAGUGGUAGAACACUACCUUGCCAAGGUAGUUAUGCGGGUUCGAUUCCCGUCAUCUGCUCCA
rnacentral:tRNA from 1 species